rnacentral:rRNA from 1 species
AUGGCUGACGACGACGCCGCCAAGAGGAAGGCCUCGGCCGAUGCCGAGGCUGCCGUUGCCGCCGCCGCGUUGGCCUGGCCAACCGGAGGCACGGGAACUGGCCACCGCGAUCAUGUCGCCGAUCUCGCUUGUUGGCCCGACGCCGGCGGACCACGAAGCUCCAGCCACUUAGAGAAUCUUCUCCGUGAGGCCGGCCUGUACGAGACCUCCGAUGAGCUGGCGGCCCGCGAGGAUGUGCUGCGCGAUCUCGAGGCCAUCGUCGACCGGUGGGUGAAGCGCGUCACCGCUCACCGAGGGUUUCCCGACGGCAUGGCUGAGCAGGCCACCGCCCUUCUGAUUCCGUUCGGUUCGUACCGUCUCGGCGUCCACGGCCGCGGCUCCGACAUCGACGCCCUCGUCGUCGGCCCCUCCUACAUCGACCGCGACCACGACUUCUUCGCCGUGCUCGGCGGCGUGCUAGCGGAGACGGAGGCGGUGACGGAGCUGCAGCCCGUGCCUCGCGCGCACGUGCCCGUCAUCAAGAUGAGGUUCCGCGGCGUGCAGGUGGACCUCCUCUACGCCAGCGUGUGCCUCCCGGUGGUGCCCAGGGACCUCGACCUGCGCGACCGCUCCGUUUUCCGCGGCAUGGACCUGGCCUCCGCGCGCAGCCUCAACGGCGUGCGCGUCGCCGACGAGCUCCUGCGCCUCGUCCCGGACGCCGGCGCGUUCCGCACGACGCUGCGAUGCAUCAAGCACUGGGCCAAGGCGCGUGGCCUCUACCCCAACGCCGCGCCGAGCAUGCUGGUGCCGCGCUUCUUCAAGAUCUUCGCGCAGUGGAAGUGGCCCAACCCGAUUCUGCUGCGGGAAAUCGAGCACGACGACGGCGGCGAGCUCGCGCUCCGGCUGCCCGUCUGGGACCCGCGGCGGAACCCGCGCGACAAGAGCCACAUCAUGCCCGUCAUCACGCCGGCCUACCCAUGCAUGAACUCGUGCUACAACGUCUCGCACGCCACCCUGCGGACCAUCACGGAGCAGCUCCAGAUCGGCAACGGCAUCUGCCAGGAGAUCCUCAAGGCCGGCGGGUGGGACGCGCUGUUCCAGCCGUUUCAGUUUUUCAAGGCGUACAAGAGCUACCUGCAGGUGGAUGUGAAGGUCGCCGGAGGGGAUGCCGACCUCCGGGAGUGGAAGGGGUGGGUGGAGUCGCGGCUGAGGCAGCUGGUGAACAGGGUCGAGAUGGCCACGGCCGGCAUGCUGCUCUGGCAGCAGCAGCCCCAGGUGCCGUUCGACCUACGCGCGACGACGGAGGGGUUCAAGCAGGAGGUGUACACGUACGAGUUCUGGAGGCCCGGGAUGGAGCUGGAGGUCUCGCACACCCGGAGGAAGGACCUGCCGUCCUACGUGCUCGAGCAGAUCCUCCCGGCUGGGCAUCUCAAGAGGAAGCGCGCCGCCGAGAGCAACUCUUCUCCUCCGUUGUCGUCUGCUUCCGGCGACGUCAAGAAGGGGGCGGCCGCAGGCGGAACCGGAUCGUCGCCUGAGAGGAAGAGGCAAUGUUGUCCCAGCAAUAUCCUCCCCAGUGCUUCAGUACAGGGCGUUGUGUGA